rnacentral:misc_RNA from 1 species
GAUGAAGAACGUAGCGAAAUGCGAUACUUGGUGUGAAUUGCAGAAUCCCGUGAACCAUCGAGUCUUUGAACGCAAGUUGCGCCUCAAGCCAUUAGGUUGAGGGCACGUCUGCCUGGGCGUCACAUAUCGUUGCCUGAUGCCAGUUUCCUCGUGAUGGGUGACUGUGCAGGGCGAAUGAUGGCUUCCCGUGAGCAUUGUUGCCUCAUGGUUGGUUGAAAAUUGAGUCCUUGGUAGGGAGCGCCGUGAUAGAUGGUGGUUGAGUGACGAACGAGACCCAAUCAUGUGAGACCCCUACCGAAUUUGGCCUUCAUAACCCACAUGCGUCUUUGGAACGCUCAUGACGAGACCUCAGGUCAGGCGGGGCUACCCGCUGAGUUUAAGCAUAUCAAUAAGCGGAGG